GACUUGCUCGCGGUAGCUCUUUUCGUUGAGGCAAACCCCGCGGCCGUGCAGCAGGGCGUGCAGCGGCUUCUCCUCGUCCUGCCGGGGGAGGCAGCGCAGCCCCUGGGCGCAGCGCUCGGUGUAGACGCCGCACGACUGCCCCUCGGCCAGGGCGCAGGUCAUGCAGCAGCCGCAGCCCGGCUCCUUGACCAGCUCGCAGCCCAGGGGGCUGGGGGGGCACAUGGAGAGGGCUUUCUCGUCGCAGGGCUCGCAGUGCACGAAGGAGCCCAGGCUCUGGGCCGGCCCCGCAUAGGCGGCCAGCAGCAGGAGGACCGCGGGAGCGAGCCUCAGUGCUUUGAACGCCUCCUGCUCCAUCACAGUGACUGCUCAAGGCAGGACACCUGAUCCUAUCGGAAUCCACCCACGGGAACCAGCAAGUGAUUCUUGAACAUUUAUGCCAGAGAAAUGAAGACUUAUCUUGACAUGAAAAUGAAUGGACGUUUAUUUGUAAUAGCCAAACCUGGAAACAAUCCAAGUGUCCUUCAACAGAUAAUCCAAGACGGAGGAGAAGCAUCUCCAUGGCACCUCACUCUGAUUUGCGAGGAUUUGGCCAGAGAAACUGUUCUCAAGAGUGUGAAUUAGGUGGCAGCUACUAUUUUAUGGUACCUCGCUAUCCACUUUGUAAGAAAACAAAAAGAACACAUGAUGAGGCUCUGGGUCAGCCAGGAUUCUAGAUUCUGCUGCCAGACACAUCUUACAAGGGCAUCGUACGACCCCGUGUUGCAGACGAAGAAACUGAGGCGCAAGGAGGUUCCUCGGCUUGUAUGCCUGGGUGUCAUGUAUGAGCCAGGCCGUCUAGGUGAGUAUGGCAGGCAGCUCCCUGUGCCCCCGUCACACAGAGGGUGUGUGUGUGAGCUGAACCUGAAGACAGUGUGUGGGGUGGUGACAUGGGGGGCACGGGAGGUGGACAAAAGGCAGACGAGUGGGACAGCGUGUGGCAUGGCCCUGAAAAGGGAGGCAGCCCGGGUCAGUAAGGGUCAGAUCUGGGAGCCACCUCAAUGCUUGCAGAAGGAGUUUGGCUUUUGUUUUGUCCCGUGAACUUUGGGAGGAGCUGAAGCCUAGAGCAGAAGGAUGAUUUGAAUUUUAGGAAGAUGAUGGGGUGGAUGGAAAAGGUUAAAGAGCAGAGGAGCGACGCUCUGGUGUGGGCAGCCCGAGAGGUGAUGGGGUUUCAGUAAAUCAUGGCGGGGAGUUCAGGCCACCGCCGGAGUCCAGUGGGUAGGGCUCUCUACGGCCGGAGGUGGCUGUGGGGGAGACGGGCGGGAGGCCCAGACCGGCAGGGAGCUUUCUGCAGGGAAGCUGGAAGGAUGGUGGGGCCGGUAACCCAACAUGGGGCCCAGGAGCGGGAGACAUGGCCGGAGGGGCGGCGAGGAACGCACCGGGGUGGGCUAGUUUGGAAGGGAGCUCGGGGAACAGGCAGGGGACUCUCAGCCACGGGAGGCUCUGUCACCCUGGGGCUCGCCAGGGCAGGCACGUGGGUCAGUGCCCUGAGGAGAAUGCCCUCGUGGGAGGCCAGGAGAGCUGCCAGUGCUGGACGCCAGAGCGGUCAGCCAGAAUAUUCCACUGGAAGAGAACGGCCAGUGUGUGUGCGGAGACGGCCCCUGGGCGCCACCUCCCUGCUUGGGCAUCUCUUGCGCCGUGGAGAAGGGUUCAGGGUAUGCUCUGUUCAGCUGACGGCUUCCCCAGAGCCACCAAGGUCUGAGCUCCUGCCUCCGAUCUGGGAUCUCCCCACAUCUUCGCUGACUCUGGAAGGAACUAGGGGCCUGUGGGGAAGUCCCGCCCUCUGGGGAGAACAACUGAGGCUGAGCCAGAGCUGAGAACCACUGUGAUGGGGAAGCAAGGCAGCUGGAGCCCGUCCUAAACCCGAACGGAAAUGAACUAGACAUCGAUCAGGUGUCUCCUCUCUGCCAAGCACUGGGCUCAGCCCCAGGUGUACAAAAAUAAAAUGUGGUAUUAUGCACAA
rnacentral:lncRNA from 1 species